rnacentral:rRNA from 1 species
UACGUAGGGUGCGAGCGUUGUCCGGAAUUAUUGGGCGUAAAGAGCUCGUAGGCGGUUUGUCGCGUCGACUGUGAAAACCUACAGCUUAACUGUGGGCUUGCAGUCGAUACGGGCAGACUUGAGUUCGGUAGGGGAGACUGGAAUUCCUGGUGUAGCGGUGAAAUGCGUAGAGAUCGGGAGGAACACCAGUGGCGAAGGCGGCCGGCUGGGGGUGACCUGACGCUGAGGCGCGACAGCGUGGGGAGCAAACAGG